rnacentral:misc_RNA from 1 species
AACCUGCUGCUGGAUCAUUACCCAAGUGAUACCUAUUCACCACCUACCUGCUGUCCAGUUGAGUCAGUGUGGGCAACACCACAUGCCUCCGUUUGUUGUUGACGGACAUAUGCCCACUGUGUAUGGGCUGGCACAUUGACCAACAAUGUACGGACAGCGCCCUGUGGGCACAUGAGUGUUGGGGUGUAACCGAUGUUGGUGGCCCUAUGGGUGAGCCGACGAUUGCUGCUGUCGUCGGGUCGCUGCGCCAACGGAGGAAGCACGCCCACAGGGCACCCUAACGGCUGUGCUGGCGUCUGUGCGUCGUUGAGCGGUUGUUGCGCCUUGCGCAGAUAUGCUAACAUGGAGUGUAGCUGCUACUCCAUGUUGUACGUGCCGUACCUUGCGGCAUGUCUGCGCU